GAUGAACGCUGGCGGCGUGCCUAAUACAUGCAAGUCGAACGAAACUUCUUUAUCACCGAGUGCUUGCACUCACCGAUAAAGAGUUGAGUGGCGAACGGGUAAGUAACACGUGGGCAACCUGCCCAAAAGAGGGGGAUAACACUUGGAAACAGGUGCUAAUACCGCAUAACCAUAGUUACCGCAUGGUAACUAUGUAAAAGGUGGCUAUACUACCGCUUUUGGAUGGGCCCGCGGCGCAUUAGCUAGUUGGUAGGGUAAAGGCUUACCAAGGCAAUGAUGCGUAGCCGAAUUGAGAGGUUGAUCGGCCACAUUGGGACUGAGACACGGCCCAAACUCCUACGGGAGGCAGCAGUAGGGAAUCUUCCACAAUGGGCGAAAGCCUGAUGGAGCAACGCCGCGUGGGUGAAGAAGGUCUUCGGAUCGUAAAACCCUGUUGUUAGAGAAGAAAGUGCGUGAGAGUAACUGUUCACGUUUCGACGGUAUCUAACCGGAAAGCCACGGCUAACUACGUG
rnacentral:rRNA from 1 species